GAACAAACAUACCCAAAAGACCAAAAUCAAAACCCUCUCUCGACAGACCCAAACUCAAAACCAAAACUCUCUCUCGACUUGCCUCACACUCUGCACUCCCUCUGCUUGGCAAAACCCGACCUCUCUCCCCCUCGACAAACCUUUUCUCGUCAAACCCUAUUUCUUCUUCUACAAACCCCAACCAAAGCUCUCUCUCUCUCUCUCUUCUCGACAAAACCCAGACCAAAACCUAAUGGGUUAUUCGAUCUGGGAAAUAGUGAAGCCCUUCAUCGAUGUUGACCUCAACAACUCCGAGCUCUAUUCUGACCGCGCUCAGGCCAACAUCAAAUCCAACUAUCUCUCUUGCAAUUUCCGAGAUCGGCUGUGUGUUUUUUGCUUUGUACAAAGUGAAAGAGAAAGAGAUUUGGGUAAUUUCUGGGCAUUUAAAAAGCUAAAUGCCCAAAUCGGUGAGUCGCUGUCUCGAAGAUUAGGGUUCUCCUUCCGUCGCUUGCCAUCGCCUCUCUUCAGUCUGGGUUCAAAUUUCAAAAUGACGAAGUCGCCAUCGCCAUUGUCCUCUCUGGCUCUCUCCCUCUCCAGGCUCCAGCAUGGUCACACAUCGACAAAACACAUCGACUGAGCAAUUUGCUCUCUUCAACUCUUCGGUCUCUUCCUGAAGCCGUCAAGCAACAAAGCAGAUUCUGGGUUCGACUCUUCAAGCUCAGUCAGUCGCUGAUUCUUCAAGGCUCAAGCUCGGUGAGUCGCUGACUCGCUAAUUCUUCAAUUGAAAGUUUGAAACUAUGAAUUUUCAGCUGCUUAGAGAAGCUAGCACUUCCGUUUUGGAGAUACUGAAACUUGAUGUUAUCUCAUUUUUGUACAUUCCAAUACAGGUAGUUGGAAAAAAAGUAUAUAAGGCUCUAUCAUGCUUCAUUGUCAGAGGAACUCUAUGCACAUACUGAAACCAUGCUUUGCAACUCAAGUCAGCUUUUAACAUCAAUUGAAAACUUCUGCAUCUAUUCAAUUGUUGUUGGAAUGGUUAUUGGGAUAUCAGUUGGAACUCAAAGAAGGGCUGCCCAUUCUUACUAGUCCCAAGGAUCACAGACAGUAGCUCGACUUGUAGACAUGGAGCUGCAAGGGUACUCGGCCAUUGUAUGAUGUACAAAAUAGCAAAAGUCGACAGAAACAGAGAAAUAAGACAAAUGUACAAAUGACCCUCUUAAAUUUGUGUAUGAAUAUUUGGGAAAUACUCCCUAUUUGAUAUCAAUUUACUGAAUUCAUUUUA